rnacentral:sRNA from 1 species
GGACGGUAGGACGCUCUGGCCGCGGCACCCGAAACCCCACUGAUCACGGGGACCGGGCGGGCGUCCCCUUCCUCCCUCACCACCCCGUGUGCGUCCCUCCUGAAGGUGAGCGACCACCAAAGAGGACAACCCUCCCCAUAGACGACGGCCGUGCUUCAGUCAAGGGCGUACCAGUAGAGGCACUCGGCUGUGAGAUCUCCAGACGAGCUCUCAGAAGCU